rnacentral:rRNA from 1 species
UACGUAGGGUGCAAGCGUUGUCCGGAAUUAUUGGGCGUAAAGAGCUCGUAGGCGGUUUGUCGCGUCUGCUGUGAAAACGCGAGGCUCAACCUCGCGCCUGCAGUGGGUACGGGCAGACUAGAGUGCGGUAGGGGAGAUUGGAAUUCCUGUGUAGCGGUGGAAUGCGCAGAUAUCAGGAGGAACACCGGUGGCGAAGGCGGGUCUCUGGGCCGUAACUGACGCUGAGGAGCGAAAGCGUGGGGAGCGAACAGG